GGGUGCGAUCAUACCAGCACUAAUGCACCGGAUUCCAUCAGAACCCCGCAGUUAAGCAUGAUUGGGCGAGAGUAGUACUAGGAUGGGUGACCUCCCGGGAAGUCCUCGUGUUGCACCCC
rfam:Eutrema salsugineum unplaced genomic scaffold scaffold_31, whole genome shotgun sequence.